AAGUCGUAACAAGGUUUCCGUAGGUGAACCUGCGGAAGGAUUAUUAAUGAGUCUUUGAAGUGGGUUUGAUGCUGGUCUUUCGAGGCAUGUGCUCGCCCUAUUCUCAUCCACUCACACCUGUGCACCUUACGUUUAAGAAGUGGUUGUUGCCUCCCUUCGGGUUGGCAGGUUAGGGAAACCUAGCUAUGGCCCUUCUUUGCGUUACUUUACACAAACUCUUGAAUGUCAUAGAAUGUAUAUUGGCCUACGGGCUUUAAUUUAAAUACAACUUUCAACAACGGAUCUCUUGGCUCUC
rnacentral:misc_RNA from 1 species